CUUGAAAUGUAUUAUUCACUAGAGACACAAAAUGGCCCGGUCACAUUCGGUCAGUUCCCACUGGCCUUGAAAUGUAUUAUUCACUAGAGACACAAAAUGGCCCGGUCACAUUCAGUCAGUUCCCACUGGCCAUGAAAUGUAUUAUUCACUAGAGACACAAAAUGGCCCGAUCACAUUCAGUCAGUUCCCACUGGCCUUGAAAUGUAUUAUUCACUAGAGACACAAAAUGGCCCGAUCACAUUCAGUCAGUUCCCACUGGCCUUGAAAUGUAUUAUUCAGUCCAGUCUCAAAAGAGAAGGAAAAUAUUCACUAUCAACUAUCAAAGCAGCAUAACAUUAGCUUGGUCCCAGAUCUGUUAGUGCAGUUUUGCCAACUUGAGGAUGGCCAUAGGACUUGUCAAGACCACAUUAACAGAUCUGGGACCAGGUUAGCAUAUCAUGUCAUUUAACAAACAAGGUCCACAUCACACUCGUACAUUCAGUCCAGGAGCCAACAUUACACAUAUACAGGCUGUAUCUCUUUUGUAAAUGGUCAAGUUAUUUUCUCACGACAACUGUAGGACAGUUGGGAAAACAUUCAUAUGACUUUGCAUUGGGCCGAUUUCCUGAACCUUCUCAUCAAUGACCUCAACCACUAAUCUGCACUAUACUGCCUUUGCACUAUGUACACCUCUGUACAACACAGUAUCCACGGCAGGAUCCCUCCCUCUGCUUAUAUAGAUAUAGCCCCUCUGUAGAUGGUCUGUUCCCACUGUCAUCAGCCUCUACUCCACAGUUUGAUGUUUUAUGGUCACUGUUCCGAUGUUGUUCAUUCUGUAUGAUGUCUAUGUGUCUGUAUUCUGUUUGUAUAUUGUCUACUGCUGGCAGCACCAAGGCACAUUCUGGGUAUGUGUAAAUGUACUUGGUGAAUAAUGGUGAUUUGGAUUAAUGGCCCCCUCUUCUCUAUAGUGUACUACUACUACCAGAGCCCUAUAAAGGUGUUUUACAGGGAAUAGGGUGCCAUUUCAGAUGUACUCCUGAGUCCAAGGACAUGGAAAGAUAAAGUGACUAAGAGGGUGGAGUUGACACAAAGCUGAGUCUGGAGAUACAUGAGGCAGGGUCAUAGAGAUGAAUAGAGGGUGGAGUUGACACAAAGCUGAGUCUGGAGAUACAUGAGGCAGGGUCAUAGAGAUGAAUAGAGGGUGGAGUUGACACAAAGCUGAGUCUGGAGAUACAUGAGGCAGGGUCAUAGAGAUGAAUAGAGGGUGGAGUUGGCACAAAGCUGAGUCUGGAGAUACAUGAGGCAGGGUCAUAGAGAUGAAUAGAGGGUGGAGUUGGCACAAAGCUGAGUCUGGAGAUACAUGAGGCAGGGUCAUAGAGAUGAAUAGAGGGUGGAGUUGGCACAAAGCUGAGUCUGGAGAUACAUGAGGCAGGGUCAUAGAGAUGAAUAGAGGGUGGAGUUGACACAAAGCUGAGUCUGGAGAUACAUGAGGCAGGGUCAUAGAGAUGAAUAGAGGGUGGAGUUGGCACAAAGCUGAGUCUGGAGAUACAUGAGGCAGGGUCAUAGAGAUGAAUAGAGGGUGGAGUUGGCACAAAGCUGAGUCUGGAGAUACAUGAGGCAGGGUCAUAGAGAUGAAUAGAGGGUGGAGUUGGCACAAAGCUGAGUCUGGAGAUACAUGAGGCAGGGUCAUAGAGAUGAAUAGAGGGUGGAGUUGGCACAAAAUCUGUUUUAGCAUGUGUAGUGCCUAGUGCUGAGCGAUUCAUCUAAAUGUCGGUUAUUUUUCGUUUUUUUAACAACUAAUUGACCGACGGAGGUUAAAUUAUUUGAAUUCCAUUUUGUUUGGGUUGCACAGUUUCUCUAGAAACUCUAGAUAUAUUGCAUACAGCCUGAACUGUGCAAUAUAGUAGGGAGUUGUAGUUUCCAACAGGGCUAAUAUUCAACAUUAGUUUAGUGCAUAAACGUGGUAAUUAACUACAAUGACCAUAAUCCAUUGCGAAUCUACUUGUCCCAUCUGUGUUUCUUUUCAAUUGCUAUGGAAGAGACAGAAGAAUGCGUGAUUGUGAGGUGAUAUAGAGAGCAUCUGUUGCUUCACAAGAUAUCUCUACCUGAAAAUACAUGAUCUAAGUGAUUGUUAGCUGGUAUUCAGCAGUCAUAAAAUAUGCCUCAUUUACUUUAAAGAACUACUAAAAUAGUGAUUUUGUCAGACAGCAUAGGCAGCAGCUCUAUGGAGAUGAGAUGAUGACUUGGAAUGAAAUAAUAAAGUCAUCAAAUGAAACAAAUGUAAAUGCACAACAACUGAAAUAUUUGAUUAAAGUCAUGUGAAUAAAUGAUGGGUAUUAAGUGGUAAGCAGUAAUGGGCAGUCACUACCUUCAUGGGAAUUUGAUUCAUUUGUUUUAUUCUGUGUUGUUACAGUAUUCAACCCACAUUAUGAAUAGUGCAUUUAAUGUAAAAAUACUUGAUUAUUUUCUUAUCUAACCGAAACUGAACCGACCUCAAAAAGCACUAAUCACUCAGCACUAGCAGCGCCAUUGAAGGGUAUGUAGUCAACUUGGUGGGACUUCCUAUGAGUUAAGGAGGUCAACAUAAUUCUGGGCUCUCUUUCCAACUAUACUGAACAAAAAUAUAAAUGCAACAUGUAAAGUGUUGGUCCCAUGUUUCAUGAGCUGAAAUAAAAGAUCCCAGAAACGUUCCAUUUGCACAAAAAGCUUAUUUCUCUCCAAUUUUGUGCACACAUUUGUUUACAUCCCAGUUAGUGAACAUUUUUCCUUUGCCAAAAUAAUCCAUCCACCUGCCAGGUGUGGCAUAUCAAGAAGAUGGUUAAACAGCAUGAUCAUUACACAGGUGCACCUUGUGCUGGAGACAAUAAAAGGCCAAUCUAAAAUGUGCAGUUUUAUCACACAACACAAUGGCACAGAUGUCUCAAGUUUUAAGGGACCAUGCAAUUGGCAUGCUAACUGCAGGAACGUCCACCAGAGCUGUUGCCAGUGAACUGAAUGUUAACUUGUCUAUCGGGGCGGCAGGGUAGCCUAGUGGUUAGAGUGUUGGACGUGUAACCGAAAGAUUGCAAGUUCAAAUCCUCGAGCUGACAUGGUACAAAUCUGUGGUUCUGCCCCUGAACAGGCAGUUAACCCACUGUUCCCCAGUAGGCCGUCAUUGAAAAUAAGAAUUUGUUCCUAACUGACUUGCCUAGUUAAAUAAAGGUAAAUAGGCCAUCUCCAAUGUUGUUUUAGAGAAUUUGCCAGUAUGUCCAACCAGCCUCACAACCGCAGACCACGUGUAACCAUGCCAGCCCAGGACCUCCACAACCGCAGACCACGUGUAACCACGCCAGCCCAGGACCUCCACAACCGCAGACCACGUGUAACCACGCCAGCCCAGGAC
ensembl:lncRNA